AUGACCAGUAGCUCGAGUAGGAAGGGUGAGGGGCCAUCAAGAUCUAGCCGGCGGCAUUCUCCCUGGCGUCCGGACACAGAGGACUGGCCUCUGGUCAUUUGUCACCAGUUGGUGCCUCUUCCCUCCUUGUGCCACCGUCCUCCAUCUCCUCCGUCCCUCGAUUCAGCCAAGGCGACGGGGAUCAAGAUCCGGGGCGGCACACAUCAUCAUCCCGUUGCCCCUCUAACUACCACCGAGCCUAGAGAUGGCAGUAGCAAGGAGCAUGAGAGGGGUUACUGGAUCAGGUGGUCCGUGCUGAAGAAGAGGGCGUUUAUAUGGUUCAUGGCCUUGUUGUGGUAA
rnacentral:rRNA from 1 species